CCUACGGGAGGCAGCAGUCGAGAAUCAUUCACAAUGGGGGAAACCCUGAUGGUGCGACGCCGCGUGGGGGAAUGCAGGUCUUCGGAUUGUAAACCUCUGUCAUGUGGGAGCAAAUUAAAAAGAUAGUACCACAAGAGGAAGAGACGGCUAACUCUGUGCCAGCAGCCGCGGUAAUACAGAGGUCUCAAGCGUUGUUCGGAUUCACUGGGCGUAAAGCGUGCGUAGGCUGUUUCGUAAGUCGUGUGUGAAAGGUGCGGGCUCAACCCGCGGACGGCACAUGAUACUGCGAGACUAGAGUAAUGGAGGGGGAACCGGAAUUCGCGGUGUAGCAGUGAAAUGCGUAGAUAUCGAGAGGAACACUCGUGGCGAAGGCGGGUUCCUGGACAUUAACUGACGCUGAGGCACGAAGGCCAGGGGAGCGAAAGGGAUUAGAUACCCUAGUAGUC
rnacentral:rRNA from 1 species